GCAGCCUACUAAAAUCAUGUGAAUCACUAAUUAUUAUUUUUCUGCUUGGGCAGGUGACAGUUGCUCAUGGUAUGUGCCAUUUGCUUGGAUAUAAGCAUAGCACAAAAGCUGAUUGGGAAGAGAUGUAUAAAAAAGAAACACAAAUCCUCCAGGAGCUAAGCAGGUUGUCUGGUACAAACUUUCAGCCGUUGACAAAAAACCACUUCUAGUAGUUGUAUCUGUAAACUGAUCCACACAAGAAAGAAAGAAAGAAAGAAAGAAAGAAAGAAAGAAAGAAAGAAAGACUGUUUUGUUUAACUACUUUAUUUUAUUAAGUAACCUUGUCCAACUUCAACUAAUCUUGGAUAUUUAGGAGAACUGACAGGACAGUUCCUUUUUUGAGUUAUCUGAGGUAGACUAAGCCUCAUGCAGCCCAUCUGCAGAUGCUUUAUAGUCUGAUGUUAUGGUGACAUCGCAUGACUCCUGAUCCCACAAAGAUGUUAUAUGUGGGAUACAGGGUAGUAAACAUCACAAGAUUCCCACAUCCAAAGGUAAAGACCUUCAAAGUCUAUCCGAUGGUUUGUCUUAUCCUUUCAAAAGGUCUAUCUGUAUCCUUGUCUGCUCAGUCACAAUCGGUAGUUAAUUCUCUCUGCCUUGUCCACUCAAUUGUCUCUCGUCAGUGGGUAGUCCAGUUGCUUUCGGAGGAUUGUCACAAUGAUACCCAAUUUGGGUAUGCCCAUUUUUGGAGCCCUAGCAGUAACUUAAAAGAUGUUGCCCCGGCUCGCCAGCUGAGGUGAAUGCAUCCAAGUAGUAGCUACAAGGAACCAUGGGCUAUGUAUAGAGCAUUUGUUGCCCUAUAUAGAUGUUACUUGGCGUUUAUGCAAUUACACACUUAGCCGAGUGUACUGUCAGUAUCACUCAUUUUCCGGCGGGGCCACGUGGAGGCGGUGUCAUCAUUAACGGCAUCACCCCGUAACCAUGAGAGUCAUAGUUACUCCCGCUAUUGCUUUUAUUCAGUUGUCCUAAGCAUUCAGUCUCUUUGUGAUAUGAGACUAAUUUAAUCCAAGAUUAAAUGCUUCAGAACUUCAGAUGUGUGUGAUAUACAUGUACAACACAUUUUGAUGUUGCUGCGUACCUGCCUGCUUUAUUAAAAAAAAAAAAUUAUAAAGGUU